UUGCAUUCUUUUUCCUUAUUCCCUGUAUCGCCAAACUACCCUUUCAAAACUUCUAUUUUUAUUUUUAUUUUCAUUAAUAAUAAUAAUAAAACUCUACCCUGUUUUAAGUAUUGUAACUCCCGAUCACCGCUACCCUUUCCGAUUGAUCUGAGCCUCAUAACUUAUGUCAGGGCUCUGCCCGACUAAGUUGUUGGGAUUCGGUCUCGGGACAUUGGGACAAGGUUGAAUUAGGGGUACUAUACUUACCACGAGUGCAAUAUAUAUUUUUAAUAGCUAAGAAAUUAUACCCAAAAUUUAUACCAGGAAAUUUCCUAGUUGAACCCUAAAGUUACAAAGCGGGUCCAUUCACCAUUUUAUUUUCUUUUUGUGGUUCACCCAAAACUAUUAUUUAUUAUUCUAUUUUGUAAACAACUCUCAUCAAAAGUCAUAUCAAUUAUUUUAUUUGCCCCAUAGGAAACCUUAAUUGAGACACCCAGGUAAUCCUAUACCACUCCUAAAAUUUCCAGAACAAUCAGAAUCAGGAUCAGGGCCCCUAAAACUCAGAGGGGGGUGUUCCCUACUCGAUGAUUAUCCAUAUGAAUUGUUGUCAAAAUUGAAAUUAUGAUUUCCAUCGACUCAGCAAGCCUACCCAGGAACGUGGCAACCCUAUGACGAAACGUGGCCCGUCACGUCACGCGGGGCCCCUAUGGGACCCCUCGCGUCACGUGAGGGGGUCAAACUUCAGCUAUAAAUAGAGAGGGGGUCGAGCAGUUCAGAAGUGCCAAUCAAAAUUCUCAAAAAUGAAAUCUGACUCCUUUAAUUCAUAAAAUACACUCACAAUAGCGAGGCGCUGCUACGAUACCAGGUAUUAACUUGAUCGCUGCUACGAUUCAAUGUCCGAUCGAUUGAAACUAUCCGACCGGAUGUUUAAGUGUAAUUACAGUAUAUUGGAGUAAGAAUUGGAUCCGACACUGAAGGCAUCAAGAAGUGGCUUAUUUUAUUAAUUAAAUCAAAUUAAGAAAUAUCGUUUUAUUAAAAGCUACCUUUGUAAAACAUGGAAUUUAUUCCAUCUAUUUAAAUAAAAUCCGGUGUUUCUAAACUCUAAUAUUUUUUCCUAACUCACGGUCCUGAUGAAAUUUCCGCUGCAAUGUUUUUCAAAAUAAUCACCGGUACCACUUGACUGCUCGCGGCUUCCGAUUCCAGCCAGGAUGGGGUCGGGGGUCGUGACAUCAGUGAUAUCUGUGGUAUUAUCCCGGGACUUCUGCUGUAUGGAAAUACUGACCUAGUCCCCAGAUAAUACUUUCUGCAAAAGCUUUGAAAUAUAAGCUCGCCCUCAGCAUGCUGAUGAAACAAUAAAAUUGGUAGUCGCUGCUGUUGAAAACAAAAGAUCCUCUAAAGGGGACACACCUUAAAGUCGAAGCCGUCAUCUCUCUGCGUAUACGGAAGUAUCGACCUGAGCUCUCACGGCCCUCGCAUCUACCCCUUAACAGAUAUCAGCUGUGGUAUUCUCACCUGUAAGACUGAAUAUUGGGGUCUGGAUACGGGAGUAUAUUCUGAGGUGGGACACAUGUAGAUGUUUAAAGUUCUAAAACACUAAUUCAGUAUCCCGAACAGGUUGAAAGUUUUAUGAGAAUUUAAGUGGAUCAGUAUAUCGGCAAUCAACGCGAACUGUUUAAAAGCUUAAAAUGAAAUAACAGCUUAACGGUGCUAGUGUCUAGUCGGCAGCUGAUAUGAUCCUCUUGCACGAACUCACAAAAUAUUGUUUGUACAUAUUUCAUUUCUGCAUUUAAAAUUCUGUUUCUAUUUUAUGUUUCAUAUUUUGAAAAAUUCAAAAAAGAUUUUCGACAACUGAUGUUGGAGAGCUGAUAUUCAAAAUUUCAAAGGCUAAACAUGGUGAACAGAGGGAUUGGCUAAAUGAUUUGAAAUGGUGAAUCAGAGUUUGAAAUGUUUUAAAUUGUGAUAAAUUUUAAAUGUGAUAAAUUCUCGAAUGUUUAGUUGAUUCAUUAAGUUGAAUUACAACUUUGUUGGUUUGUAAUAGAGUGUUUGAGAUGUGUAGGUUUCUGAUCCUGCUGAUACGGAAAGUCAGGAGAUACAUUAGAACCUGAGAAGAGCUUAAACUGAAAAACUAGGAUUUGAUCUCAAGGUGAUAGCAAAUUCCAGAUAGCGAUCCCAUCAUGAUGAAAGGGGGAGUCUGACGAGGCUAGAGCCAAAGAGAAGAUCCUGGUAUAUGCUAAGAAAGAAAAGAGACUAAUAAAGACUGAAGAUGCAAAGACUCGACACUUAAGACUCGUCAACAUCUGAGGGGGAGUCUGUUGGUGCAUUCAUCUGUCGUCUUCGUCUUAUGUCGAGUCUCAGUUUCGGUGCGGAUCUGAUCAAGGGUGACAUCAUCAAUAUGACAUCACAAGUGACAUCAUAUUGAUGACAUCACAAAUCAUCAUCCAUUACAUCUUCACAAGAAGACAAAAUAGAAUGUGUAGAUGUUGACUGUUUAAAAGUUGCAACCGUUUGAAGGCCCAACCGUUUGAAAGUAUUCCGUUUGAAAGUGGUGGCCGUUUGAAGGGUGGCAUGUCACCUUCAAACGGUCAGGGGUCCUUUCUAUAUAUAGGCUUCAAACGAUCUCAUUUGUAACAGUCUUGUUUCCGACGCCGAGGUGCCGUCGAAGUGUCUACGUACUGUAAAUUGUUACAAGAUCAAUAAAAGAGACAGUUA
rnacentral:lncRNA from 1 species